rnacentral:rRNA from 1 species
UACGUAGGGUGCGAGCGUUAUCCGGAAUUAUUGGGCGUAAAGAGCUCGUAGGCGGUUUGUAGCGUCUGUCGUGAAAGUCCGGGGCUUAACCCCGGAUCUGCGGUGGGUACGGGCAGACUAGAGUGCAGUAGGGGAGACUGGAAUUCCUGGUGUAGCGGUGGAAUGCGCAGAUAUCAGGAGGAACACCGAUGGCGAAGGCAGGUCUCUGGGCUGUAACUGACGCUGAGGAGCGAAAGCAUGGGGAGCGAACAGAAUUAGAUACCCUGGUAGUCAAGGGCG